GGCUCGGUAGCGGAUGGUCCGCAUCUGCUCUGAAUAAUGAAUUGGCUUAGUGUUUGAAACAGCAGACAAUGCCUGUUCGACUCAGGCCCGAGCCA